GGCAGAUCACUUCAUAUCUUUAUCAGAAAAGCACAAAUGAGAUCAUAAAGAAUUGGACAUGACUGAAAUAACUGAGCAACAGCAAACCACUGCUUGAGAGCCUACUGAAUGCUGAAAGAUUCUGACAAUGUGUGAGUCAAUCUUAUCAUCUACAUGUACAUUGUUGGAAAGUGUGAUGCUAAGGGUUGGACAGGAUCAGUAUCUUGCAUAGUGAGGAGAAAAUGGGAUGUUUGGUAAUUCCAGUGGGACUGAAAGUAUCUCCUCUUCGCUGCUGGAUAUAUGAUGGAAAGCAGAAAGAAGUGCUGAUUAAGUACUAUAAAUAUGAAAGGUUUUCACUGUGAAUUCAUAAGUUAUCGACUACAUGCUGAGUAGUCUUGUCCUUUUAUAAGAAAGAUUUGGUUCUAAUCUCUUUGUACAACUGAAAAAAAAAAGGUUGAAGGUUAGAAGAAGUUUACAGAAUGACU